rnacentral:rRNA from 1 species
GUCUACGGCUAUGCCACCCUGAAUGUGCCCCAUUUUGUCUGAUCUCAGAAGCUAAGCAGGGUCGGGCAGUAUGUAAACUAAUGGACAUGGGUGUAUUCUGAUAAAAUUUAUAGACGCUGAAGUUU